UAUCCGUAUAAAUUAUAUAAGCUUUUUCGACAAAUAUGCUGAGUAUUCACAAAAUAGGCCGACGAAUCCUUCAGUCGCUCAAUUAUUCAAACACAGGGCGAAUAGCAUAAAAAUCACUUAUAAUGCACACGAAUGCGCACAAACUUGUUACAUAUACAUAUAUAAUGUCUGAGAGGAGCAAGAACGGGCACCGAAUAUAAGCAUCUGUGAUACUUGAUGUGCCCGUUAUUGUUGUUGUUAUUCUCAGCGUUUAAUCAUCUUCUAUAGCAUGCUUUUAGGAGGCUAUGAAUGGGCUGUUUUCAAUGUUGGCUCCUCUUAUUAGGAAAAUUAGCGUUGCGCACGCUCUUAACGAUGUUUACUAAUUAAAGUAUUUGCCCCAAAAAAGGGUAGCAUUGGGUUGUUUUUGUUGCAGGCCCUUUGACCGUCGAACAUUAAAACAAAUCACCCGACAACUGGGCGCUCGCAUUGACUGGGUGUUUUUUUUUUUUAUUUUUAAUUUAAUUAAAUUGCAAGUACCAAGAACAGAGCCAAGUGAGGCAAAUUUCAAAGGCGAAGAGCCCGCACAUUUGUGACAAAGCAAACAGAGCAUUAAAAAUGUCAAGAGGGGACAAACAAGAAUUUGUUCAGAGUCUGCACCAAUCAUGCCCAUCAAUUUCAGACCAAUCGAGUGGGCGAUGGCCCAAAAGGAAAAAUCCAACAAAGCAAGAGUCCUUUCCAGUACUCAUUUCAAAAAGAACACUUCUUGGAAACGUCCAUAUAGAGAUGAAUGCUUGUGCGGACGGAUAACACAGCUCUUUCAUGGAAGUGUUAAAGCGUAUUCCGAAUUCGAGUUUCUGCUCUAUGUUCUUUAAUGACCUGUCAUGAUUAAUGGUGCUCGACGUUUCGCUGUCAAUCUCGGACGAUUCGCAGAUGUUGAGCCCAAAAGACUUGAGACAAGCAUUUAGGUUUAAAAUUGUUUUAUUGUCCUUGUAUCAAAUGUUUGCUUUUAUUUUCUCCUAUCUGUAUGCUUCUCACCAUUGAUCCCCUGUUACGUUAUUGUUCAUUGAAUUGCUGUCAAUUUAAAAAUAAUAUUUACACACAAUUUCCUAACAUCUUCUCGA